CCUACGGGAGGCAGCAGUGAGGAAUAUUGGUCAAUGGACGAGAGUCUGAACCAGCCAAGUAGCGUGAAGGAUGACUGCCCUAUGGGUUGUAAACUUCUUUUAUAUGGGAAUAAAAUGUUCCACGUGUGGGAUUUUGUAUGUACCAUAUGAAUAAGGAUCGGCUAACUCCGUGCCAGCAGCCGCGGUAAUACGGAGGAUCCGAGCGUUAUCCGGAUUUAUUGGGUUUAAAGGGAGCGUAGGUGGAUUGUUAAGUCAGUUGUGAAAGUUUGCGGCUCAACCGUAAAAUUGCAGUUGAAACUGGCAGUCUUGAGUAAAGUAGAGGUAGGCGGAAUUCGUGGUGUAGCGGUGAAAUGCUUAGAUAUCACGAAGAACUCCGAUUGCGAAGGCAGUUCACUGGACUGCAACUGACACUGAGGCUCGAAAGUGUGGGUAUCAAACAGGAUUAGAUACCCGUGUAGUC
rnacentral:rRNA from 1 species